rnacentral:lncRNA from 1 species
UGGCCAUAUCGGAGUAAGAGGGACGACAGGUGAGCCGAAAACUGCGGCCAAAUCCUAGCGAAGUCGCCGUAGCCAAAAAUUUAAAAUUUCUUUGAUGAGCCCCUUCCUAUUUUCUAUUUCACGUGAUUCUUUGAUCAUUGUGUUUGUCGUUCCUUUCUAUAUAGGUUAGCUAGAGAAGAAUCCCUAACUGCAAAGGAGUUCCGGCAGAGUCACCGCACCCAAAGACCCUCCGCC